rnacentral:rRNA from 1 species
GACGAACGCUGGCGGCGUGCUUAACACAUGCGAGUCGAACGGAAAGGCCCUGCUUGCAGGGUACUCGAGUGGCGAACGGGUGAGUAACACGUGGGUGAUCUGCCCUGCACUUCGGGAUAAGCCUGGGAAACUGGGUCUAAUACCGGAUAGGAGCCAUUUUUAGUGUGAUGGUUGGAAAGUUUUUUCGGUGUAGGAUGAGCUCGCGGCCUAUCAGCUUGUUGGUGGGGUAAUGGCCUACCAAGGCGGCGACGGGUAGCCGGCCUGAGAGGGUGGACGGCCACAUUGGGACUGAGAUGCGGCCCAGACUCCUACGGGAGGCAGCAGUGGGGAAUAUUGCACAAUGGGCGCCAGCCUGAUGCAGCGACGCCGCGUGGGGGAUGACGGCCUUCGGGUUGUAAACUCCUUUCGCUAGGGACGAAGCUUUUUGUGACGGUACCUAGAUAAGAAGCACCGGCUAACUACGUG